CCCAGAUGACUGGGCCGUCUGGGCGCCAGGCGGCCCAGUCAACUGGGCGCCCAGGCGACCCAGUUGACUGGGUCGUCUGGGUUGACUGGCCCAGACGGCCCAGUCGACCCAGACGGCCCAGUCAACUGGCGCCCAGACGGCCCAGACGACCCAGUCAACUGGGCCGUCUGGGUGAGUCUGGGUCAUCUGGGCAUGCCUAAUCGGUCCAGUCAGCUGGGCUUACGUCUCCUUUGUGGAGAUCGCCGGAAAACUCCAUUUUCUGCGAUCUCUACUCCAUUUUCCUCCUCCCAAACUAUUAUCCUUUCCCAAAAAUCAUGCAUUUUUCCAAAAAUCAACACAUGUAUAUAAAAUCAUGUUUUUUUUUUCCAAAAAUCAACAUAAAAACUUUAAAUAUGGGUCGUCUAUUUUUCCUUUUUUAUCAGUGCUACAGUAAUUUUUCUCUUUCCUUACUAUCUUCUCUUUCUUCUUUAAAUAGUAAGGGUAAAUUUGGAUUUCUCUUGAUUUUCAAUAUUUUAAACAUUUUGCUUUUUUUUUUUUUUUAAUUGGUCAAAGGCCUCUUUGGAAAACUGGCCGGGUCAACCGGCUGUUGGCCACUAAUUCCUCAGGUUGAGGUACCAACCAAAUUCA
rnacentral:lncRNA from 1 species